GUGGGCACCAGGUGCUGAAUAAUGUCUCUGUAUAGAGUGAGUGGGUGAUUGGCUAGCUGUCAAACUACAGCGGGGAGGCAGAGCCAGGCUUCUUUCAAGCACAAUCCCUACCUACGUACUGCCAACCCAUCUGCUUCCCCACCACCACCGCCAUCUUGUGCAGUAUUCCGGGCCUGGCUCUGAUGUGGUUUUUUGACCUUUACUUGGCUACUCCCAAAGGAGUACCUUGCACCCCUCAACAGAGAAAACUCCAGGUUAAUCAGCUCAGUGGAAGAUGAAUUAUCCUCCCACAUUCCAUGUGUGAUUGGAGGAGUUCCAAAAAGAACCUUCCAAGGAUGGCGGCCCCACUUCUGGGGAGAUGGGCAGUGGCUCUAGUUCUGGAAAGUGCAUCCCCAGGCACUACGAUAGAUGUGGCUUUGGGUACCUUCCUGCCUCUCACUGUGCCACCUGCAGACUUUGCCAAAGAGAUGAAUCCGGCAAGGACUCUGCUUCUUGUGUAAUCAAGGAAAUAGGAUCAAUCAGAAGGGGACAUCCGCAUCCCGACCCCCAGCGUCUACAUCCUACUACGUGUGUCCUGCGCAUUUGAAUGCCUCCUGCUACAAAGGAUGAGAUGUUUAUGCUCCUGUGUAAGAACCACCCCUCCCGCCUGCCCAGGUGCUCUUGCAGUUGUCUCCUAUCACUUCUGAAUCAUCCUUUUCUCCCCCUCUCCUGAAUCAUUUCAAUCAACAUGCCAAGAUUCUUGAGUAUCUCUCAUCUUAAAAACAAAAAUUCCACCUCUCUUGACCUUAUACCACUCUCCAGCUAUCACCCAUUUUUUCUGUUUGCCUUUACAGCAAAACCCUUAAAGAAUUGUCUCUACUCCUCUGGUUCCUCACUUUGUUUUCUCUCUUGAACCUUCUGCACUCAGCCUUUUGUACCUGUCAUGACACGGAAACCACUCUUAUCUAGGUUGCUAGUUACCUCCAUGUUGCCAAAUUGAAGGUCCAUUCUCUAUCUGACUGUUUAACAGCAUCUAACGCAGUUGUCUGCUCCUUCUUCUAUGAAACACUUGCUUCAUAUCGUCUUGUGAUGUGGCUUUGAUUCUCUUCAUACCUUUCUGCCUGGUGUCAGCCUUCUCUGUUGGAUCCUUCUCCUAGUCCCCAUUUCUGAAUAUUGAUGUGCUGCACAACUCAGCCUUAGGGCUGGGCAGCCUUAGGGCUGCUCUACCAGCUACAUUCACUCCUCAAGUGAUCUCAUCUCAUCCUUUCUCAUGAUAUUAAAUACCACCUACAUGUGUAUAUAUAUUUGUAUGCCAAAAUUACAUCUUCAGUCAUGACCUUUCUCUCUGAAGCCUAGUGUUUAUAUUCAACUGCCUGUUAGAUACCUCUACUUGGAUGUCUAAUAGGAAUGUCAAAUUCACUGUGUCUAAAACCAAGCUCUUGAUUUGCUUCUUUCAGAUUGGCGUCUCCCCCACUGUUGUCCUUCUCAGUAAAUGCAAUCACUGUUCAUCUUGCUGCUCAUGCCAAAAAUCUUGCAGUUAAUCUUGAGUCCUUUCUUCUAAUUUAUUAGCUAAGCCUGUAGGCUCUACCAUCAAAAUAUAUCUUGGCACCUGCCAAAUUUUCACUACCUCUAUACACCCAGCUUUGUCUGAGCGAGCCACCAUUAUUUCUUCCCUUGACCAUUGCAAUAGUCACUGCAUCAGUCUCCAGGAUCCCUCUUUCUCCUCUCUUCCCUGAUCAGUAAUGCCCUCAUGAUCUUCACAUCCUUUAUUGAUCUCCGUCUCAGGCAGUCUGCCGUCAGGGGGAGAUAAAAUUUUCUCUGCAGCCUCAUCUCCUACUUCACCCCUCUUGUAACGGCACUCCUGCUACAUUAUGCAGUGUUUCUGGAUCGUAACAUGCACACUCCUGCUUCAGGGCAAUUGCACCUGCUCUCACUCCCAUGUGGCUUGCUCCCUCCCUUCAUUCAGAUGUCUGCUUAAAUGGCAUUUUUUCACACAGGUCUUCCCUAAAGUGUGGUGUCCCUAUCCCUCUCCAUCCUCUUGCCUGGCUCCACUUCUUCAUACCAUUAAUCCCACCUGACAUUAUAUUACAUCUCCAUCACUAGAAUUUAUGCUUCAUGAGGGCAGGGACUUUAUAUGUAUUCUUCACUCUGGGAUUCUCAGUACCUAGAGCAGUACCUGACACAUAAUAGGUGUUCAGUAAAUAUCUACUGAACCAAUAAACAAAUGAACAAAACCA